rnacentral:lncRNA from 1 species
AAUAUUUGAAGAGAUUUAUUCUAAGCCAAAUGAGUGACCAAUGGCUGGUGACAGCUCUCAGGAGAUCCUAAGAACACGUGCCCAAGAUGAUCAGGGUACAGCUUAGUUUUAUACAUUUUAGGGAGACAUGGGACAUCAAUCAAAUACCUGUUAAGACAUACACUGGUUCCAUCCAGAAAGGCAGGGCAAUUGGAAGGGAUGGGGGACAGGGGGCGGCUUCCAAGUCACAGCUAGAUUAAAAGAUUUCCUGAUUGGCAAUUGGUUGAAAAGUUAUUUACUAAAGACUUAGGAAUGUCUUUAGAAAAUAAAGGGGUUGUGGAGAACAAGGUUUUAGUGAGAAUGGGAUAAUUGAUUGGUGUGGAAAACACAAUUUGGUGUCAGACGUGUUGUGAAUACAUAAAUAGUUUUCCAAUUGAGUUUCUGGAUGAGAUUAACAUUUCAAUUGGGAGACUGAGUAUAGUACAUUGUCUUCUCCACUGUGGGUGGGCCUCAGCCAAUCGACUGAAGACGGAAUAGAACAAAAAGGCUGACCUCCCAGGAGUAACAGGGAGCUCCUACAGCCAAACAGCUUGAGUUGGAACACUUUUCCAGCCUUGGGCAACACUUUUCCAGCCUUGGGCUCAGACUGGGACUACACAUCAGUUUGCCUGCCUCUCCAGCUUGUCAACUGCAGAUCCUGAGACUUCUCAGCCUUCCUAAUUGUAUGGGCAAAUUCCUUAUAAUAAAUCUUUUAUACACACACUCCCUAUUAGUUCUGUUUCUGUGAAUUACCCUAAUAUAGGAGGUAUGCUUAUCAAAAUUUUGUCUAGCUGUAAGUCUGAAAGGGCAACUCACAACCAAGUAAACAGAAUAGAAUGAAGUGAAAAGGACUAGAUUAUCUGUUGACAAAUCCAAAUGUACAGAGGAUUUCUUUUUUGAGAUGGAGUCUCACUCUGUCUCCCAGGCUGGAGUGCAAUGGCACAAUCUCAGCUUACUGCAACCUCCGCCUCCCGUGUUAAAGCGAUUCUCCUGCCUCAGCCUCCCAAAGUAGCUGGGACUACAGGCAUGCACCACCAUGCCCAGCUAAAAUUUUUUGUGUAUUUUUAGUAGAGACAGGGGUUUCACCAUAUUGCGCAGACUGGUCUUGAACUCCUGACCUCGUGAUCCACCCGCUUCUGCCUCCCAAAGUGCUGGGAUUACAGGCGUGAGCCACUGCACCCGGCCGAGGAUUUCUUAAAAAGAUCUGUUAGCAGAAUCUCACUGUGGGAAAUUAAGAUCGAAGGCAAGCAGAGAACAGGUUUGUGUUUCUGGCAGAAAUAAAGCAACUGAAUUUACCUCCUGCCUGAAACAACUAAAAAACUAAGAGGAACAAAAAAAGAAACAAUGGUUUUCAAGACAUUGAACAUCAGGCAAUAAGGGACAAUGAUCUCUUGAUGAGACACAAAUGAGGCAAGCUCCCAAAUUGGCCUGGGCCUGCCAGGGUACAAAGCAGAAAGGGAGAAAACAGGCAGAGGCUGGUGGUUGCCCUAAGUUGAGGAAACAGAGUUUCUCUAACAGUCUAGGGAGAACAAGGCAGCUAGACUUUGCAGGGCAGACAUUGGAGGGAAGAGCUGCGCACGGUGUUCCCAGACCAAACUGAGGGUUGGGCUGCUAUUUCUUGUGACCCAGUAAGAAGAUGUAGAUGAACCGGGGAGGAAGAGUUUUUAUUUCUGGAACCAGUUACAGGGAGAAGGCCUGGAAAUGAUCACCAGACCAACUCAAAAUUACAAAAUUUUCCAGAGCUUAUAAUACCUUCUAAGCUAUAUGUCUAUGUGUAAGUGUGCAUUCAUCUAAAGACAUAAGUGGUUAACUUCUUAUAAUCUACAACUAAGGUCUGGAGUCCUGAAGACCUUCCUCUGCAGCCUCAGUAAAUUCACUUCAUCUAAAUGGGUCCAGCUGCUAGGGUGAUUACGCUUGUCUCCUGCUAAAUCAGGGAGGUUUGGUGAUUCUUUCAGAACCCCAACAAACUUGUUUAAUCCUAAAUGGGUCCAGCUAAGAAUUCCUUCAUUUUUUUUUUGUCAUGCUUUAAGGCCCAAUAAAGGCCUGGGCAAAAUUCUUGGUGGGCUUUUGUUACAUUCCAGCCUUUGUAUAAGGGCCUUGGCUUUUUUAUCUUUUAGCAUUUAACUUAGCCACUCACUCAGUACUGAAACAGUUGUUAUGGGGGCCUGUGUUGAGACCUGGCCUGCCACAGGGUACACUCUGCAGCAGAGUCCUGAUGAAUGCACACACAUGGUGGGGCAAGUACUCAGGCUGGGGAAAGAACCAUCACAAAGGAUUAGUGGGGAAAUCCUUACAGUUUACAGAGGUAGGAAUAAUCCCUGCUACCACCCACCAGAACGGAAAACCUCUGAAUUCACAGGGCAUCAGGUACACAGAGGAUUUUGCUUUAGGAGUGGAAAAAAACACUAGCCACUAGCCCUAACAAGUUUAGAAGAAAGAUCCAAAAGUAUCCAACUGGUUCUAAGUAACUUAAUCCCCUCCCAAGACAAAGCUCAAGAAUAUUUAUAGGAACACAAAACAUCCAGUACCCAAUAAGGUAAAAUUCACAAUGUCCAACAAUAUCUUUGGUCUCGUUAUGUUGCCCAGGCUGGUCUCAAACUUCUGGACUCGAGAGAUCACCCAACCUCAGCCUCCGUUGGGAUUACAGGUGUGCGCCUCUGCACCCAAUGUAACAUUGUUUUCUUAAGGUAUGUUAGAACUCACCUGUAAGUCCAUCUGGGCUGAUGUUUCUUUGUGGGAAGAUUUUAAACUCCUUAUGGAACUAUCAGCCAAAAUACCCUUAAAGAAUUUGGUUUAGGGAAUUGAGCCUCUUGCCCUAACAAUCAGUAGGACUUACUAAUUUAUAAUGACGACAGUGUGGGACUGGCCCAGGAAAAAAGGAAAUGACAGAUGGAACAAACGUCUCUGAGCCCAGAAACACUCAUACUUGAUAUAUAGAGAAAGACCUGUGGGAAAUUACUGAAGAAAAGAACUAUUCAAUAAACAGGGGUUAAAUAACUGAUUAUCCACGGGGUGGGGGAGGAGGGGAGGAAUUAGAUACCUUACAUCUUGCACACAUACACACAAAUCUCAGUAAACACCUAAACAUGAAAAGCAAAAUUGUCAGCAGUGACAAAAGGCAAAUUUUACAGUAGAGGGAAAUGAAUGGCAAAUGAACAUGAAAAAUUCCUGAUCUAAGGUCAGGAAAGGAGGUCAGGAAAACACAAGUUAAAAUUAUGAGAUACUUUUUUAUAUAUGCUACAUUAACAAUAAAAACAUUGCAAAGUUCCGGAAGUACUACUCAAGAGAAUAUCAUCAUUUUGGAAAAUACCUGGCAUUAUUUUGCAAAAUUGACAAGCCAACAACUCCACUCUUACGUAUAAAGUCUCUUGCAUAUGUGUACCAAGGGACAGUCAAGUAUUUUUUGAGUGUACUGUUUCUACCAACAAAAACUAAAAAUAAAUGUCAACUGAUAGGAAAAUGAACACUUGAUGUGGUAUACUCAAACAGAAUACUACAGAGCAACUAAACCAUCCAUGCAUAUAAGCACAAGAAUUAAUUUUAAACAUAAACUCAAAAAAGCGAGUAAGACUUCACAUUCAGACACUAUAUGUAGAAAGCUUCAAACAAUGAAACAGUAUGUUUGAAGAAUAUAUAUGUGUGAUUAAAAAAGGGGAAGGAACAAUAAAAAAUGACGUGGGGAAAGAGGUAAGAAAAUAGGAAGAACAUACAUAUACGUAAUUGGCAGCUUUCCGUGUCUUUAGUUAGGUGUGAUGAGUUUUUAAGUAUUAAUUCU